rnacentral:lncRNA from 13 species
AUGGAAAAAUGGGAAUGGGGAACUGGGAACGGGAACCAGGAAUGGCCCCGGGAGUGGCUCAGCCCAAGGCUCCUCUUGCACCGGGAAACUGGGAAUGGGAUUGGGAAUGGGAUCUGGGAACGGGGCCACUGCAGGGUGAGGGAUUCAUGGGAUCCCGGAAUGCUUUGGCUGGGAUCCACGGGGCUUCAAUCCCAUCCCAUUCCAACUCCCCCGAUGAUCCCAGGCUGCUCCAGCCUUUCCUUGGACACUGCCAGGGAUCCGGGCAUUCCCUGGGAAUUCCAGCCCAGCCGCGAAUUCCUUCCCAAGAUCCCAUUUUUCCCUCUUUCAUUCCCACCAUUCCCUGGAUCCCAUUGGAUUCCCGGCCUUUCCUUCCCAGCCGCCCCGGGACCGGGAUUGAAGCUUCCACAUGGAGCUGAUCCCUGCUGGAGCAUUUUCCCGGGGAAAACCAGACCUGGAAAAUCUGGGAUCCUUCGGAGAUGUCCCAGCCGGCGGGAAGAGCUCCGGGAAUGCCGGAGCAGCUGGGAUAACAGCGGGAUGAGCUGGGAUUUCGGGAAGGAAUACCCGGGCUGGAAUUCCCAGAGAAGCUGUGGCUGCCCCUGGAUCCCUGGGAGCGUCCAGGGAAAGGCUGGAGCAUCCCGGGAUCACGGAAUGUGCCGGGAUGGGAUGGGGAUGGGAUCGAAGGUCCUUUCCCACCCCAAAUUCCAGGAUUCCAGCGCCGUUCCCGAUCCUGAUCCUGGGGUGGGGGUUGGGGAGGGGGAAUCGGGAUCCCCGCGCCGGAGGGGCCGCGGAAUGAGAGGAAUCCACGGAAUCCAUGGAAUGCGGGAAGCGCCGAUCCCUCGGGAAUUCCCCCGCUGGAUGCAGCUCCGUUUCCAUGGAAACGGCCGCGGGAAGAGUCGGGAAGCCGGGAAAGGACGGACGCGGAUGCUCCCGGCGCGGGAAAUUCCCGGGAUUUGGAGCUUUCCCGCCUUUCCCAAAGGGAUUCUUCCCUCGGGAAGGAUUUCGGGAUCAACCCAAGCCUCGGGCUGUUCCCAGAAUCCCAAAAGAUCCCCAGUGGGAUUCGGGAUUCUCCUCCUCGGAGGCUCCGGAUUCCCAAGGAAAACGCAUUCCCGAGGCCGGGAAUUCCCGGAGAAUUUCGGGAGCCCCAUUCCCGCUUCCAAGGCCUCGCGGAAGCCCCAAAUCCUUCGGGAUCGGGGCUCAUCCCGCGGCUGCUCCUGGGAAUUCCCUGGCGCCGAUGAAUUCCUGGAAUAUUUUAAUUAAGGCCCAGUUUUUCCCGCCGGGAGCAUCCUAAUUAAUUCCCUAAUUAAGGAGCCGGGCCGGUGGCUCUUCCAGGCGGGAAGAGAGGCAGGAAAAAAAUUCGGGAAUGGGGGAGGAUUUUCUGGAAUUCGGGGCCAAUUCCAGCCUUGUCCUGGCCCCCAGGGCGGCGUCCGGGAUUCUGGGAAUUCUGGGAUCAGCUCCGGGCUCCUCAUUCCAUGGAUUUGGAGGGGCUGGGGCGGGUCCAGGGAAGGGACGGGAGCUGGGAAUGGCUGAGGGAAUAAGGGAGGAUCCAAAGGGAGCUCCUCCCCCUCUGGAAUUCCCGGGAAUCUUGGAGCCAGCUGGGAUCGGGGUUCGGCCCAGGUUUUCCUGGAAAUUUGGGAAUAAUUCCCACCUGGAAAGGCUUUUCCAGCCCCGGGCAGGGGAGGAGUCGCCGUUCCCGGAGGGAUUUGAAUCCCUGUGGAUUUGGGGUGGGGGGGAGGGGGGGGGACCCUGGGUCAGGGAUGGGAUUGGGAAUGUUGGGAACGCUCGGAUCCACGGGCUCCCAGGGCUUUUCCAGCUGGAGUGGAGCGAUCCCAGGAUUUGCAAUUCCCGAGGUUUGGGGGAGCCAGGAUUGGCAAUGGCGGCGAUCCCGGCCUCAGUUUCCCUUUGGAAUUCCGGUGCUCCUGCUCCUCAUCCAGAGGGGACCCCGGAGCUGGGAGAGCCGGGAAUGUCCGGCUGGAUCAGGGAAGGAUCCCGGGAAACCUCGGAGGCGCUUCCCGAGCCUGAAGGGGCUCCAGGAGAGCUGGGAUUUGGGAUAGAGGGAUGGGAAACAAGGAAUGGCUUCCCAGUGGGAAAGGGGAGCU